GAUGAACGCUGGCGGCGUGCUUAACACAUGCAAGUCGAACGAAGCACUUUUAUUUGAUUUCUUCGGAAUGAAGAUUUUAGUGACUGAGUGGCGGACGGGUGAGUAACGCGUGGGUAACCUGCCUCAUACAGGGGGAUAACAGUUAGAAAUGACUGCUAAUACCGCAUAAGACCACAGCACCGCAUGGUGCAGAGGUAAAAACUCCGGUGGUAUGAGAUGGACCCGCGUCUGAUUAGGUAGUUGGUGGGGUAACGGCCUACCAAGCCGACUAUCAGUAGCCGACCUGAGAGGGUGACCGGCCACAUUGGGACUGAGACACGGCCCAAACUCCUACGGGAGGCAGCAGUGGGGAAUAUUGCACAAUGGGGGAAACCCUGAUGCAGCGACGCCGCGUGAGCGAUGAAGUAUUUCGGUAUGUAAAGCUCUAUCAGCAGGGAAGAAGAAAUGACGGUACCUGACUAAGAAGCCCCGGCUAACUACGUGCCAGCAGCCGCGGUAA
rnacentral:rRNA from 1 species